GGAAACUUGGACAAAGUGGGGUCACUGGAGAUCACCAAUCAACCUAUAUUAAGCAUUUAAUAUGCAAUAGGGUAUAACAACAGUUUAACAAAAUCAGGUUAUGCAUCAGAAUAUGAGCUAUCUACAAGAGAAAGAACGGGCGAUAUAGGGAUGAUCAAGGAAUUUUUGCUGUAUUACAGAAGGAUGGUCGUUAGGGUCUAGUCGUACCCGGCAGAAGCGUGAGCUUCGUCAUCUAUCGGAGAGAACAGGGGCGGGAAACAAUAAAUAAAAUCAAACA
rnacentral:lncRNA from 1 species